AGAGUUUGAUCAUGGCUCAGAUUGAACGCUGGCGGCAGGCCUAACACAUGCAAGUCGAACGGUAACAGGAAACAGCUUGCUGUUUCGCUGACGAGUGGCGGACGGGUGAGUAAUGUCUGGGAAACUGCCCGAUGGAGGGGGAUAACUACUGGAAACGGUAGCUAAUACCGCAUAACGUCGCAAGACCAAAGAGGGGGACCUUCGGGCCUCUUGCCAUCAGAUGUGCCCAGAUGGGAUUAGCUAGUAGGUGGGGUAACGGCUCACCUAGGCGACGAUCCCUAGCUGGUCUGAGAGGAUGACCAGCCACACUGGAACUGAGACACGGUCCAGACUCCUACGGGAGGCAGCAGCGGGGAAUAUUGCACAAUGGGCGCAAGCCUGAUGCAGCCAUGCCGCGUGUAUGAAGAAGGCCUUCGGGUUGUAAAGUACUUUCAGCGGGGAGGAAGGGAGUAAAGUUAAUACCUUUGCUCAUUGACGUUACCCGCAGAAGAAGCACCGGCUAACUCCGUGCCAGCAGCCGCGGUAAUACGGAGGGUGCAAGCGUUAAUCGGAAUUACUGGGCGUAAAGCGCACGCAGGCGGUUAGUUAAGUCAGAUGUGAAAUCCCCGGGCUCAACCUGGGAACUGCAUCUGAUACUGGCAAGCUUGAGUCUCGUAGAGGGGGGUAGAAUUCCAGGUGUAGCGGUGAAAUGCGUAGAGAUCUGGAGGAAUACCGGUGGCGAAGGCGGCCCCCUGGACGAAGACUGACGCUCAGGUGCGAAAGCGUGGGGAGCAAACAGGAUUAGAUACCCUGGUAGUCCACGCCGUAAACGAUGUCGACUUGGAGGUUGUGCCCUUGAGGCGUGGCUUCCGGAGCUAACGCGUUAAGUCGACCGCCUGGGGAGUACGGCCGCAAGGUUAAAACUCAAAUGAAUUGACGGGGGCCCGCACAAGCGGUGGAGCAUGUGGUUUAAUUCGAUGCAACGCGAAGAGCCUUACCUGGUCUUGACAUCCACGGAAGUUUUCAGAGAUGAGAAUGUGCCUUCGGGAACCGUGAGACAGGUGCUGCAUGGCUGUCGUCAGCUCGUGUUGUGAAAUGUUGGGUUAAGUCCCGCAACGAGCGCAACCCUUAUCCUUUGUUGCCAGCGGUCCGGCCGGGAACUCAAAGGAGACUGCCAGUGAUAAACUGGAGGAAGGUGGGGAUGACGUCAAGUCAUCAUGGCCCUUACGACCAGGGCUACACACGUGCUACAAUGGCGCAUACAAAGAGAAGCGACCUCGCGAGAGCAAGCGGACCUCAUAAAGUGCGUCGUAGUCCGGAUUGGAGUCUGCAACUCGACUCCAUGAAGUCGGAAUCGCUAGUAAUCGUGGAUCAGAAUGCCACGGUGAAUACGUUCCCGGGCCUUGUACACACCGCCCGUCACACCAUGGGAGUGGGUUGCAAAAGAAGUAGGUAGCUUAACCUUCGGGAGGGCGCUUACCACUUUGUGAUUCAUGACUGGGGUGAAGUCGUGACAAGGUA
rnacentral:rRNA from 1 species